AUUGAACGCUGGCGGAAUGCUUUACACAUGCAAGUCGAACGGCAGCACGGGGCAACCUGGUGGCGAGUGGCGAACGGGUGAGGAAUACAUGGGAAUCUGCCCAGUCGUGGGGGAUAACGUAGGGAAACUUACGCUAAUACCGCAUGCGCCCUUCGGGGGAAAGCCGGGGACCUUCGGGCCUGGCGCGAUUGGAUGAGCCCAUGUCGGAUUAGCUAGUUGGUGGGGUAAAGGCCCACCAAGGCGACGAUCCGUAGCUGGUCUGAGAGGAUGAUCAGCCACACUGGAACUGAGACACGGUCCAGACUCCUACGGGAGGCAGCAGUAGGGAAUAUUGGACAAUGGGCGCAAGCCUGAUCCAGCCAUUCCGCGUGCAGGAUGAAGGCCUUCGGGUUGUAAACUGUCUUUUGUUACGGAACGAAACGGUCUGCCCUAAUACGGCGGGCUAAUGACGGUACCGUAAGAAUAAGACACCGGCUAACUACGUGCCAGCAGCCGCGGUAAAAGUC
rnacentral:rRNA from 1 species